rnacentral:rRNA from 1 species
UCAUUACUGAAUUAAUGGAGGGUUGUAGCUGGUUCCUUGGAAUAUGUGCUCGCCCUUCAAAUUCAUCUUAACCACCUGUGCACUUUUGUAGGCUACGAUAACUCUCAGUGGUAAAACACUGGAUUGAGAGACUUGCGCUUCAGCUGUCUUUCAACGUCGUAGUCUAUGUUUUAUCUCAUAUACUAAAGUCAUAGAAUGUUAUUGUAUGGGUCUACGACCUAUAAAACUAUAUACAACUUUCAACAACGGAUCUCUUGGCUCUCGCAUCGAUGAAGAACGCAGCGAAAUGCGAUAAGUAAUGUGAAUUGCAGAAUUCAGUGAAUCAUCGAAUCUUUGAACGCACCUUGCACUCCUUGGUAUUCCGAGGAGUAUGCCUGUUUGAGUGUCAUUAAAUUCUCAAACCUUCAUUGGUUUUGUARACUUUUGAAGGCUUUGGAUGUGGGGGCUGCUGGAAUCUAACGAAUUCAGCUCUCCUUAAAUGCAUUAGUGGUUACUGUUCCCCACUUUGAUGUGAUAAUUAUCUACAUCUUGUAAGUCGGGGAUGUUAAGUGUAGCUGCUUUCUAACCGUCCGAGUUGCUUUGGACAAUUUGAACCAUUUGACCUCAAAUCAGGUAGGACUACCCGCUGAACUUAAGCAUAUCAAUAAGCGGAGGAAAAGAAACUAACAAGGAUUCCCCUAGUAACUGCGAGUGAAGCGGGAAAAGCUCAAAUUUAAAAUCUGGUGGUUCUUGUAGCCAUCCGAAUUGUAAUU